CAGUCGCGCGGGAAUACGAAGGGUGCAAGCGUUACUCGGAAUUACUGGGCGUAAAGCGUGCGUAGGUGGUGGUUUAAGUCCGUUGUGAAAGCCCUGGGCUCAACCUGGGAAUUGCAGUGGAUACUGGGUCACUAGAGUGUGGUAGAGGAUAGUGGAAUUUCCGGUGUAGCAGUGAAAUGCGUAGAGAUCGGAAGGAACAUCUGUGGCGAAGGCGACUAUCUGGGCCAACACUGACACUGAGGCACGAAAGCGUGGGGAGCAAACAGGAUUAGAUACCCCCGUAGUCCCUGUCUCUUAUACA
rnacentral:rRNA from 1 species